UACGUAGGGUGCGAGCGUUAAUCGGAAUUACUGGGCGUAAAGUGUGCGCAGGCGGCAGAGCAAGUCGAGUGUGAAAUCCCCGGGCUCAACCUGGGAAUGGCAUUUGGGACUGCAAGGCUGGAGUUUGGCAGAGGAGACUGGAAUUCCAGGUGUAGCAGUGAAAUGCGUAGAUAUCUGGAGGAACACCGAUGGCGAAGGCAGCCCCCUGGGCUAACACUGACGCUCAUGCACGAAAGCGUGGGGAGCAAACAGG
rnacentral:rRNA from 1 species